UACAGAGGUCCCGAGCGUUGUUCGGAUUCACUGGGCGUAAAGGGUGCGUAGGUGGCUUGACAAGUUUGAUGUGAAAUCUCCGGGCUUAACCCGGAAAAUGCAUUGAAUACUGUAGAGGCUUGAGGUUUGGAGGGGGGAUUGGAAUUCUCGGUGUAGCAGUGAAAUGCGUAGAUAUCGAGAGGAACACCAGUGGCGAAGGCGAGUCCCUGGACAACACCUGACACUGAGGCACGAAAGCCGGGGGAGCAAACAGG
rnacentral:rRNA from 1 species